rnacentral:lncRNA from 1 species
UUGUUCGUAUCCAAUGGCGUAAUAAGUCAAACAGACCCAAAAUACAACUUCCCAGAGUGUGACAGGGAUUUUAAGGAUCCAUGUAGGUAUUGAGUAUGACCAAAAUGGAAAAAACCGAAGUUCUCUUUGCUUGUAAAAUACAGGAAGUCUCAUGGUGCUCAAGGAGAUUUCAGAUAGUCCAUUAAACAUCACAGUGAUUACUGUAUAAUAAAGAGCGCCAAGGUAAAGUUGACCAUCUUCCUCAGUUUUCUUGUGCAUAUUGGUUCUUAGAAAAACCGUCAUUGCCACAGAACAUACAAAGAUGAUCUGAAAAAAAUACAUCAUAAUAUAGUUCAGAUACUUCAAAAUACUCACACGAAUUAUAGUGUCAGAAAUGAAGGCUUUAAUUUCGACAUUCAACUCACUUGUAUAAUUUGGAAAAUAAAGAUGAAGGAGUUUCUCUUCAUAAGCAAGUAUUCCCUAGAUAUGCAAGAUAUCAGAAGAUCCUUCUUGCUAGCGCCAUAUUUCUUAUUUGUUAAAGCUAAAGGAUGGCCCUUCACUUUGCCAAAUGGUUUUGCUAGAUCAUUACUUAGUUCCACACCAACAUGAAAGGACCGGAAUUUUUCUGCAAAUUCAGUUGCAUUUAUGAAACUAUACCCUUUAUCUCUGUUCAUCCAAUAUUGCUCUUGGUCUUUCCUUGAAGUCACCUUUUUUUCAUAAGCAAAAGUUUAAUAUACAAUUUUUUAACUAAGCAAGGAAACACGCUAUUAUAAACAUAUGAAAGAGAGAACUCACUUCUUGUAAGAAGUCAGCAACUCCUUUUCUUUCAGGACAUUUAAAUCCCAUCAACUCAAAGAACUCUAGCACAUUUUCGCAGGGUCCUUGAUAAACUAUUUUUCCAUCUGAAAGCAGGAUAAUGUCGUCAAACAAUUCAUACGUUUCUGGUGCCGGUUGGAGGAGUGAGAUAACAGCAGUCCCUUCAAGAAUGUGGAUAGAUUGCCUAAUUGAAUUUACAAUCUGAUAGCUUGUUGAACUAUCCAAACCAUUCGAGAUGGCAUCCAUAAAAUAUGCUCUUACUGGUCCAACCAUCAUCUCCCCAGCAUUCAAUUUGAAAGGAAUUUAAGAAAUCUAGUCACCGAUUAUAUGAUAUGCAGAACAAUCCUAAGGUUCUGAAUUCCAGAAAAAAGAAGUCAAAAAUAUUAACAGAUUUCUGAUUAUAUGAUAGGUGAUUCGGUAAAAUUAACAGAUUAUACUCGGAAACUUAUUUAUUCAAUUUUCUUGCUGAAAAUAUUUUCUAAUAUAGUGUAUCUGUACCUGCUGUCAAUCUCUUCUUUUCUCCUCCAGAAAUACCUCUUAUCAUUUCAUUCCCAACAACGGUGUCAGCACAAUCUUCAAGUCCCAAAAUCUGCAAACAUAAAGACCAGGACAUAAGACCAGGAUAUCGCGUGAGCUAGCAAUCAAAGGCUUGUUUAAUUACUUUCAGCUUUUAAAUCAUUGUACCUUCAAAGUAUAGUCAGUCAAUAAACUAACAUCUUGCCCUUCUAGUGAUGUUGCCUGCAGAUAUCAAAACAAUAACAAUUGUAGUAUAUUUAGAAAGCAAUUGAUUUUUCUAAUUUUAUAUAAGCUCUUUAUAUAUGUUACUAAAACUCACCUUCAUGUACAUAUCAAUGUCAGGAUCUGCUUUGAUAUCUUCUUCCUCCUCUCUCCUUGAUAGUUCUACCAACAUAUCUACGAAACCAUAUUCGGACCAAAAUUAUACAACUUGAGAUUGGUAAAAAGAAGGCAUGUACGAUGUUCAUAUAAAGUAAUAGUGUUACAAACCAUAACGAGAUCCAACCCCUUGACAUCUUGCUGAAAAAUCUAAUGUUUCUCUGACGGUCAUUUCUCCCAUGUGAUUAUCAUGUUGACUUAUGUACGACGAUGUCCUUUGUGGCACAAACUCAUUCAACUCACAUCCAUUAUAAGUUACUUUCCCGGAUACCUUAAAUUUUGUCAAAUGUUGAUAUGAUAUUAUAUACAAUGAAGCAAAAGAAGGUGUAAAUCUAUUCAAUGUUGUCUUCAGUUUUACUUACCUGUAAAUCUGAUCCAAGUUUUCCUGCCAAGGCUAGAAGUAAAGUUGUCUUCCCAGAACUUGGAGGACCUAAAAGCAGCACCAUUCUGCAAGAACCAUUUCAAGUAAAUUAUUUUGCGAGGAUAGAUUAAAUUGAGAAGUUCAAGUGUCAAAUCCUCACCUGCCAGGCUUGAUAAUACCACUGACAUCCUGAAGUAUAGGUAAUGGUCUCUUUCGAGUGGGAAGAAUGUGAAGAUAACUCAAGAAACCCUGUUUGUAUAAAUACAUUAACAGAAGUAAACUUUGAGUUGCAAGGACUAAAACGUCGAAAGAGUAUGCAUAUUCAAAAAGGCCAGCAUGAUUUACCUCAACUAUAUUAGCCAGAAAAUAUUAAUAUAUGUGUUCUUACUAAUAUUUAACUAAUUUAGGUAACAUUUAUUAAUAAUUUAGAUAUUUUUUUUUUGAUUUGAAUUUGUUUGAGUAUAUUUGAAACACUACAUGUACAUAUGAGAAUUGGAAAAAGUUAAUAAUUUGUCAAAAAUUAGUAAAUUCUUGCAAAAAAUACUAAUUAAUGUGUUCUUACUAAUAUUCAACCAAUUUAAGUGAUGUUUAUUGAUAAUUUUGAUAUUUAUCUUUGAUUUAAAUAUGUUCGAAUAUAUUUGAAAAUACUACUGGUACAUACGAGAAUUCGAAAAUUUUAAUAAUUUGUCAAAAAUAUUAAAUUCUAACAAAAAGUAGUAAUUAUAUGUGUUCUUACAUAUUCAACCAAUUUAAGUGAUGUUUAUUCAUAAUUUCGAUAUUUAUCUUUGAUUUGAAUAUGUUCGAGUAUAUUUGAAAAAUAAUACUAAUACAUAAGAGAAUUGGGAAAAUUCAAUAAUUUGUUUGUAAUAAAAUAAUUCAACUUUAGCUACAAAAUAUUAAUUAACCUUAAAAAAACAUGUAAACAACAUAGUUCAAACAUGUGUUCGAUAUAUUUAAGAAACAAUCAAUAAUGUUUAAAUAAGUAAAAUUAUCCGUAACUAAAAGGCAUAAAAAAGUCAAUAAGAUAAAAACAUAAAGGAAUUAGAUAGAAAAUUAUUUCUACAUUAUAUUAAGAAAAAUCAAAAUUUUCUCAGUAUUUCUGACCUUGACAAUAUUUUAAAUUUUAUUUAAUAAUGUUAAAUGAUAACAAUUUAAUGUAAUAAAUUGUACAAGGCAUAUGAUACGGGAGGGGUAAAAGUGUCCAGGGAAUAAAAAAGGACUCUCCGCAAUGAUUCAUUGCGGGGUCUUUCAUACCGGCAAUGUUUCAUUGCGGGGUUGCAAUGUUUCAUUGCGGGGAUACUUUUUUUUAACCGUAGGAUCACAGGAGGGACGUGAUUUGGUGGCUGGAAACCGAUCCCUAUCCACCGGUGGCUGUAGACCGGUUUCCAUAUAUAUAUUAGUUAAGUUCUAUGGAGUACACAAAAACAUUGGAGUAUUGGAGUACAAGUCAUAAUUUUUCAAUUUAAUCAAAAAUAAUAUUUUUGAUUAUUCAAAUUUGUAUAUAAUUUAUCAUUUAUAAGUUGUCUUAAUCAUAAUUAUCAAUUAAUCAAUAAUAUCUUUCAACUUUAACAAGUAUUAAGGUUUUUGUUCUGCUUAUAAGUUAUAUUGCAGAACAUGGUGUCUCUCAUUUAUAAAAGUAAUUGUUCUACGUUUUGAUUACAAUGUUUAUGUUGUAGAACAUAAUCUGCAGGUUGUGGAAUGUUUACAAAUAUUGUAGAACAAAAAAAAAUUAAAUUUUAAUGACAAGAUUAUAUUUUAUCCAAUUUUGUACUCCAAUACUCCAAUGUUUUUAUGUACUCCAUAGAACUGAACUAUAUAUAUAUAUAUUAUAAAUACAAUUAUGGCGGUACCCAAUCACCCAUCUUUUAAAAUUAUAAAAUUUCAUUCAUACACAUUAUUCAAUACCUUCAUUACCUAUUGUGGCCGUACCCAAUCACCCAUCUUUUAAAAUUAUAAAAUUUCAUUCAUACACAUUAUUCUAUACCUUCCUUACUUAUUUAUAUAUAUAUCUUAUUAUUUUUUUUAUAUAUUCUUCACUAAGUUUUGAGUUUCAUCCAACAUUAUUUAUGAAAAUUUAUUACGAUUUAUUUUUAUUUAUUAAAAUGUUUAAAAAUAUAACAAUAUGAUUAUAAACUUUUGAUAUAAAUACUAUAUUUUAUAAUUUUUAAUUCAAAGAAAAAUCAAUUUUGUAAAAAAAUCAAUUCUAACUAUGCAUGAAAUCCAUUUACCUUUUUAACAAGUUUUCAUUUGAAUAAUCUUUAAACUAUGAUGUCAUAAAUAUUAAUUACUAAAAAAGAUGAAGAUAAUUUAGUUGUAAGGUCAUGACACAUAAUUAGGACGUGUUCUUAAAUAAAUAACCUUGAACGACCCAAUCUAAAUAUCUAAUCAUUAUGUUUGGACCUGAAUUUCAGAGAUGUGUAUAUGAAUAAGGCUUAUUGACUCUAUAUAUUAGUUGUGGCCCAAUAAAAUCUACCUUGGGCCGAGAACAUAACAACCCUCAUUAGGGUUUGUAUUUCAUAUUCCAAGGGCGGCGAAACCAGGUAUAUUGGCUCUAGAUAUUAAACUUAGGCGGAGAGUACAACACCCUUCAUUAGGGUUUGUACUUCAUAUUAGAAGGCGGCGAAACCAAUAAUAAUAAGAAGGAUUUGUGCAGAGCCUCCUUUCAAAAUAAAUUUGAAGCAAUGGCUGACUGUUUGGAUAAAAGGAAGGUAAGAUUAUUUUAUCUAUCUUGUGAUGUAUAUCAUCUUAUUAUUAAACAUUGUAUGGAUUUGACUUGGUUUUACUCUUCUAUAAAUAUGGUUAUUGUUUCAUAUUAGAGGGGGGUUAAAUGGCGUUUUGGUCACUCAACUUACCGGAAACUUGCAAUUGGGUCAUCCAACUCAAAAAGUUUUCAGUCACAUCAUUAUACUCUUAAAAAUUUUCAAUCGGGUCACUGGCCGUUACACUCCGUUAACAAUUUGACGGAAUGAUGACUAAGCGUCGUGACUUGGCUUAAAUGAAUCCACCGUGGCAUGUACAGUCAGCUGAAGUGGCAUUUUGGUCACUCAACUGAGUACAAACUUAUAAUCAGGUCAUCAAACUCAAAAAACUUUCAUUUAGGUCACUUUUCAUAAUAUUCGUUAAAUAAUGAAAAAAAAAGAAUUAAAAACUAUCAUGCAGCACCUUUUUUCCUCUCUUAAAAAUUCUGAAACAUAUUAAUAAAUGAAACAAAUACACACACAUAAAAUCAAUAGUUUCACCCACAAAAAAUUAAUCUUUGUUUAUCUCUUAUCGUUUUAUAUAUCUUUAGGCCAUUUUGGAAAAACUCAUUAAAUUUUUGAUAAGAGAUGAAGUUUACAAAUAAAGUCAAUCAAAAAUUUAAUAAGUAUGAAGUUUACAAAUAAGUAAUAUUGUUAAGUAUGAAGUUUACAAAUAAAGUCCAUCAAAAAUUUAAUGAGUUUUUACAAAAUGGCCUUAAGUUAUAUAAAACGAUAAGAGAUAAACAAAGAUUAAGUUUUUGUGGGUGAAACUAUUGAUUUUAUGUAUGUGUUUCAUUUGUUAUUAAUUUUCGAAAUUUUUAAAAGAGAAAAAAAGGUGCUGCAUGAUAACUUUUAAUUCUUUUUUUUUCCAUUUUUUAACGGAUAUUAUGAUAAGUGACCUAAAUGAAAGUUUUUUGAGUUUGAUGACCCGAUUGAAAGUUUGUAGUCAGUUGAGUGAUCAAAAUGCCGCUUCAACUGACUGUACAUGCCACGGUAGAUUUAUUUAAGCCAAGUCCUGACGCUUAGUCAGCUUUCCGUCAAAUUUUUAACGGAGUGUAACGGCCAGUGACCUGAAUGAAAUUUUUUAAGAUUAUAAUGAUGUGAUUGAAAGCUUUUUAAGUUGGAUGACCCAAUUGCAAAUUUUCGGUCAGUCGAGUGACCAAAACGCCAUUUAACCCUAUUAGAGGGUGAAAUUCUCCGAAAGAUGGUUGUUAUAUAAGUCUUUUAUUGAUGUUUUUUCAUUAACUCUUGUUUUUUAACUAGUUGAUUUGUUUUUUUACAUGAUUUUAGUGAGUUGGAAUUAUACUAAUUAUGAAAGAAAGUGAUAGGGUUCAUGAUUAUAUGAUAUUACAUUAUGUAAUAUUUUUAAUGCAUAGAUAUGUUUUUCUCCUUCCAACCCACUUAACAUAUACUCCCUCCUCAUUUUAAUGGUCCAGUUUACACAACUCACACAUAUUAAGAAAUAUUAAAUGUGACAUGUUUUUAUCAUUUUCAUGCACUGGUUAUACAAAAAUACUAGUAAGUUUUCAUUUAACGUCAACAUAAUUUGCAUUGUAAAUGAUGAAAAUUGUGUGGGCUAAUAAAUAUUAACAUUGAAACUUGUAUAAUAUUUGUUUUGGACGAAGAACAUAUUUAAUUAUAUAAAAGGAUAAAAUAUAUUCAAUUCAAACCCUUACUGGAACAAGGAAUGACUAAACCAUACAAAUAGAAUAAAAUGAAAUGAGACUAAACACCUAAGACCAUAUAUUAGAUUUGAACUAAUAAAACACAACAAUUAUUGCAUCAAUGAGGUACACCAUACUAUACGUUUCUUUAAAUAAAUAAGUAAAGUCUUGUUCCUUGUUUCUUUCCACAAUCUAUGUUAUUACGGCUUCUUCUAUGACAUUAUAUUGCCUUCUUUUGUCCUUAAUUCCGAGUAACAUUUGUGGAGUUUCAAUUAAUCCUUGCGGAGUAGCAACAUCGGUGCCUAGAUUCUUUGGUGGCCUUCCCCGACCUGUUUUUGCACUCUUAAGUGCCACUUGUAGACAACAACCUAUCCUUGAGGAGUGGAAACAUUCGUGCCCUGAUUCUUUCAAGGUAUUCCCGUAAGUUGUUUUACACUUUUAAAGGCUUUUUGUGGUGUAUCAAUUGAUCUAUAGGCAACAACAACAUCCUGAUCAUGGGAGAUAAACAAGGUGUGCACAUAACCUCUUCCCACCAGCUUUAAGGGCUUCUUGUGUGGCCUUCCUAUGUUUUAUUUUCUAUCUCUACAAGUGGCACGUAAUUAGAGUGCAAAACAAGGCAGGGGAUGGCCGCCAAAGAAUAUGGGCACGAAUGUGCUACUCGUAUGGAUUAAUUGAAGCUCUAUAACUGGUACUGGGAAGAGCAAAAAGAGGUAGAAAAAUGUGAUAAAAGAAGUCAUAACUAACGUAGGUAGUGUAAGUAAACAAGGAGAAAGUCUUUAGCUUAUUUUUUAAUGAACUUAUAGUAUGGUGUACGAGGAUAGAGUAAUUGCUUAAAUUUGGUAGUCACUUUAAAUCUAAUUUAAUACGGUCCUAGGUAUUUAGUCAUAUUGCAUUUGAUGCUAGUCUGGUGCGGUUACUCCUUGUUCUAAUAAAGGUUUAAAUUGAGUGUGCUUUAUCCUUUUUCUAAUUAGAUAAAUAUUUGCUUUUGAAAAAAUAACAUGGUGUUAUACCCUAAUAUUUUUAAGUUUGUAUAAUUUAAAAGUAUGAGCUUCUCUAAGGUUUAGAACAUGUUUGCCUUCAAAAUCUGUGUUAUUACGAUUUCUUUUAUGGCAUUUCCCCCUCCUUUUGCCCUCCUAAGUACGUUUUUUGGAGUUUCAAUUAAUUCAUGCAGAGUAGCGAACAUCUGAGCCCAGAUUCUUUAGUGGCCUUCCCAUGCCUAAUUUUGCACUCUUAAGUGCCACUUGUAAAUAACGUAGGCUGUGUAAGCAAACAAGGAGAAAGUUUUAGCUUAUUUUUCAAGUAAACUUAUUGUUUGAUGUACUCGUUGGAUGUAGUAAUUGCUAGAUUUUAGUAGUUGCCUUAAAUCCAAUUUAUUGCGGUCCUAGGUGUUUAGUCUCAUUACAUUUUAUGUUAGUCUCGUUUGAUUAAUCUUUGUUCUAGUAAGGGUUUGAAUUGAGUUUGUUUUAUCCUUUUUUCAAUUAAUUAAAUAUUUUCUUAUAAAAAAAUAACAAGUGGUCAUCCCUAUUAUUUAUUAAAAUUGUAUUAAUUUGAAAGUUUGAACUUCUUUAAGGUUCGGAACAUGUCUAAAAUCUGAAUUUUUUUUAAUUAUUUGUAUGAUAUGAUAUAUAAUGAGUUAAGUAAAUGUUAGGUCAUGUUGUGAUGUUAGGACAUUGAAGAUUGUAACUUUUAUGAUGAAUGCACUAGAAUAUGACUAUGUGAAUUUUGCUUUUAAAUACAAAAGGCUAUCCCUUGAAAAAAGUUUCUUUUCUUCAUGAUUCCUUGAAAAGAAUAUGAAACUACUUUUCACCAUAAACCGGAAGCAAUUGUGAAUAAGUUGUCAAGAAAAUUCUCGAGGAAUGGAAAAAGAAAAAUUAAAAUGUGAAUAUAAGAAUAUUAUAUUAGUGUUAAUAAAUAUGGUCAAUAUGUUUUUGGGUGUUGUGAAUACAUCAAUUAAUGUACUUUUUGUUAUAAGAAUAAUGCAUAUACUAACAGUAAUGUUACCCCCCAAAUUUUGUCCCAAUUCUUUCGCAAAAGACAUAGACAAAUAAAUGACUAAUUAUUAUUAAUAUGAGUGGAACAAAAAUGUCUUCAGCUAAACUAUGAUAUCCCCCCAACAUUCUCACAACUCCUAACAAAAGGCUAUUUUUUUUAAUAAUCGAUAUUUUUUUAAUAAUAAAAUUUUUAAGACUCCAAAAGUUUAAACAGCUGCAUACAUGGACAAGCCUAACAAACCACUAACUUUUCCAUACCUACCUCAAUAAAUGGUUUUUAAUAAUAAGCCUCGACAUAUAUGGAACUGAUAAACUUGCAACAAAACAAGAAAAAAAGUUAGAAAAUUCUUUUACCGCUAAUGUAAAUUGAUGGAGUAUGUAUAUGAGAGACAACUUGAUGAGAGAGUAAUGAAGUAGAAUUUAUAAAACUGAUAAUAAAUAGAAUAUGUUUAAAAUAGAAAUAAAGAAAUAAAAUAAACAUGUAUAUCUUAAAAAUAAAAAUACACCCAAGGAUUCUUUUAUAAGAUAAUAUUUUUGAACUUCUUGAAAUUAUAUAUUAAAAUUCACAUCCCCUGUACAUAAUAAAUUAUGCACAAUAGGCUUGGUAGGAAACAAAACAAUUGUCUAUAUAGUGGUUCGAAUGAAAAGAUCAUGGCCAUACGAACCCAACAAUUAAGGAUCCACUAUCCAUCAUUUAGUAAUAAUUGUGGUGCUGGGAAUGGCACAACACUCAGAGUGUUAUGGCACAGACCGGGUUGUUGAUGAAACACCACCCUAGAAAACUAUUAAACAAUUAGUGUCAAGAGAUACAAAAUGAGACAGGAGAACACCUAAAAGUAUAAAACAAUUGGAGCAUGUGGGAGGAAGUUAUGUAUGUGCAUACUUUGUCUAUUUUCCAUGAUGAGGAUGUUGAUGUUACCUAAUGAUCAAUUGAUGCACCACAAUUGCACUUAUAAGUGCAAAACUUAAGUUAGAGAAAGACCACAAAAGAAUUAGGACACGAAUGUUUCCACUCCCCAAGGAUCAGGUUUUGCUCUACAAAUGGCAUUUAAUUAGAGUGCAAAACGAGGCUGGGGAAGGCCACGAAAGAUUCCGGGCACGGAUGUGCUACUCCGUAGGGAUUAAUUGAAGCUCCACAACCAGUACUCGGAGGGCAAAAGGAGGCAGAAAAAUGUCAUAGAAUAAGCCGUAAUUAACGUAGAUUGUGUAAGCAAUGAAGGAGAAAUUCUUUAGCUUUUUUUAUAAAUAAAAUUAUUGUAUGAUGUACGGGUUGGAUGCAGUAAUUGCUAUGUUUUCGUAGUUGAUUUAAAUCUACUUUUUUACCAUCUUAGGUGUUUAGUCUCGUUGUAUUUUAUGUUAGAUGGUUCGGUUACUCCUUGUUCCAGUAAGGGUUCGAAUUGAGUUUGAACCUCGCCAAAGAAAAAGCUAGGACAUGCGUUUAAAAUAUUUAGAAAAGGAAUAUAAAGCUGGAGAUGCAAUCUCUGAUUUAUGUUUCUGUGAUAGAUAAUGACUUAAAGAGGAGGCACAAUAUAACUGAAUCCCAGAUAUAUGCUGAUCAGCUCCAAGACUUGGUUAGUUUUAACCGAGACUCAAAAUUAUGAGAUAUAUCUACUACGUUGUUCGAUCAGAUUUAUAGGACUGAACAACUAGGUGAUAGUUCAUAUAGCAAUAUUGGCCAGAUUGAAAAAAAAGAUACAAUGUAAUUUAAUUCAAUUCUUCAAGCAGACAGAAUCAGUGGCGCUGUCUCAACUAAUCAGAAACAGUUCCAUGAGCUUAAUUACCAAGAACACAGGGACCGCCAUAAAAGUACUUCGUAAAAGUACUUAAUUGUGCAAAUUGCAAGUGAUUGAACCGUAAUCUAUGAAUACAUGUAACAAACAAUCUCAACGCAACUUUAACUGAAAAUCAGAAACCUCCUGCAAAAACAAAUGUAUGUACUGUGUACGGUACCAAAUUAUCAUGAAAAGCACAAAAAAACUACAAAUCCUGCUCCAAAAUUCAUAUCAUCGAAUGACAAACUAUAGACUGCAGUCACUCCACAAGAUAAACAAUUUCAACUCACCUGAGCGAUGAUCAGCAACCUCCUGCAAAACAAAACAGAGGAAAACAUGAUUAAUAGUUAUGACUUCAAUAAUCAAAUCAUAAAUUCAUAAUGACAUGAUGAUGAUCACUAAACUUCAGCCGCUUAAACAAGCUUGAACACAAGUUUAAUAUAUAUUGUACACUGGUAUUUAAGUAGCUGAGGCGUAUUUGGACAUGUCAAUUAUCAUUGAAUUCUUUCUUUCUCACAAUAUGCAAGAAAUUCUUCCAACGCGUACUCGCCCCCGUUAUCAGUACGCAGACACUUGAUAUUCCGGCCAAACUCAUGCUCUCCUCUUUGCUUAAAGUCAAGAAAUCUAGAGAAUGCUUCGUUUUUAUGUUUUAAAAAAUAAAUCCAAGUAAAACAAGAGCAGUCAUCCACCGAGAUCAUUGCAUAUCGACACCCACUGUAAUUUGUUGUUCUGGUAGGCCUCAUCAAGUCCGAAUGAAUUAGCUCAAGUACAUCAGAAGCUUGUUAGUUGAUUUUGUAAAUGGAAGCCUUUUUGAUUUCUCGUAUGACAACCAGCACACACUGCAUUUGUGUUUAAAUUACUGAAGUAAUUAAGGAACGCCGUCAACUAGAUUUUUGUAGAAAUUUGUUGAAGCAGUUGAAAGCCAAGACGAACAUGCCAAAUCGACGGACUUGCACUAUUAUUUGUGCUUUGAACAUAUGAUUUACUUGCUGAUAAGUAGACCUGGCAAUAUAGGCCCAAAACCAUAUAUCCAGUCCAAACCAAACCAUUUUUUAAAAUUUGGUCCAACAAAAAAAUCACACAUUUUAUUUGGAUAUGGUUGGUUUUGAAAUCAUGUUUUUUAUCCAAAAUAUGGACCAAAAAAUGGACCCAAUAUAUGAUAACCAUAUUUUUUUUUAAAAAAAAGACUUUCAUUACCUGUACAAUUCAAUCCGUUGCUUACCACUACACUCGUACAAUUCAAUUCGAUCUCUCCUGCUUCUCCGCUGGAUCCGUGCCUCCACCGACCACAUCAUCGCCGCCGAGAGACGUCUUCUCUCUCUUAUCAAGUACUCUCUCUCUCCCUCUCUCUCUCUCUCAUUUUCGUGUUUUAGUUCUUUCAUUAUUCAUAUUUAUAUUGUCUCCUUAUUUUACUUGCGGAUCUGUUCUGUAUAGAUAUGCUUACGCGAUUUGAAUUGAUUUUCAUAGUGUGCCUAAUCUGCUUAAUGCUAUUCUCUAAAUCGAUUAUAUUAUGUUUAGGACAGAUUUAAGCACUUGCUAAUUCAAGUUAGGGCACCUAUUAUUUAAACAAGGCAGCAGAUGAUGUCAAAACAUGGAAAAGUCUAGAUGUAAAAAAUUUGAUCAAGUUUUGAAAUCAUAUGCUUUCGCAUAUUUGAGCAACCAUGUUCACUUAUAUAAACUUGAUCACAUUUUUUACAUCUAGACUUUUGUGUUCCAUUCUCCACAAACUUAUGAAAUAAUUCCCAAAUUAUUGAUGUAGACUUCUUAUAUCUUUUUGUAGGUCUAUUAGAGGUCGAAGUUUGUUCUUCUUCCAUUACAACUUUAAAUCUACAUUAAACCAAUAAGAAACACGAAUAUAUAAAUAUACACAUUAGCAUUAGACUACCCAAAUAAGAAAAAUACAUACACACAUGAUACUCAAUUGUUUCUCUACUGCCAUAAUAAGUGGCCUAACUUGAAUUAGCAAGUGCUUAAAUCUGUCCUCAAGAUAAUAUAAUCGAUUUAGAGGAUAGCAUUAAGCAGAUUAGGCACACUAUGAAAAUCAAUUCAAAUCGCGUAAGCGUAUCUAUACUGAACUGAUCCGCAAGUAAAACAAGGAGACAAUAAAAACAUGAAUAAUGAAAGAGAUAAAACACGAAAAUCAGAGAGAGGGAGGGAGGGAGUGAGUGCUUGAUAAGAGAGAGAAGACGUUUCUCGGCGGUGAUGAUGUGGUCGGUGGAGGCAGGGAUCCAGCGGAGAACUAGGAGAGAUCGAAUUUAAUUGUACCAGUGUAGUGGUAAGCAAUGAAUUGAAUUGUACGGGGUAUGAAAGUGUUUUUUUUAAAAUAUGGUUAUCAUAUAUUGGGUCCACAUUUUGGAUAAAAAACAUGAUUUCAAAACCAACCAUAUCAAAAUAAAAUGUGUGAUUUUUUUGUUGGACCAAAUUUUAAAAAAUGGUUUGGUUUGGACUGGAUAUAAGGUUUUGGGCCUAUAUUGUUAGGAGUUGUCCCACAUCGAUUGUGGGAGGGGCAUAAAGCUAGAAUAUAAGCAGCCAAAACAACUCCAAUAGUACGAGGCCUUUUGGGAGGUGCCCAAAAACAAAGCCGUGCGGGCUCGGCCAAAGCGGACAAUAUCGUACUAUUGUGGAGUUAGGCUCGCUUAGCAGGCUCAACAAGUGGUAUCAGAGCCAGGUUCGAACGAUCCGUAACAAUCUCAAAUGGGUUCCAGAAAGGGCCUAGGAAGAGGUAGAUGGGCUACCCAGAAUGGGCUAAGGAUAAAGGUAGGUGGGCCUUCCAGUUUGGGCCUAGGGGGAGCCAGAUAGCCAGACGGACUUCCAGUAUGGGUUUAAAGGGGAGCCCGAUCACACAUUAGGAGGCAGAAUUCGAUAGGUGUCGAGCCCGAUGUGUGAAGGGGGAGAUUGUUAGGAGUUGUCCACAUCGGUUGUGGGAGGGGCAGAAAGCUAGAAUAUAAGCAGCCAGAACAACUCCAAUUAGUGCGAGGCCUUUUGGGAGGUGCCCAAAAAACAAAGCCGUGCGGGCUCGGCCCAAAGCGGACAAUAUCGUACUAUUAUGGCCCAACAAGUGGUAUCAGAGCGAGGUUGAAAUGGUCCGUAACAAUGUCAAGUGGGCUCCAAAAACGGGCCUAGGAAGAGGCUGAUGGGCUACCCAGAAUGGGCUUAAGGAUAAAGGCAGGUGGGCCUUCUAGUUUGGGCUACCCAUUCUGGGUAGCCCAUCUGCCUCUUCCUAGGCCCGUUUUUGGAGCCCAUUUGAGAUUGUUACGGACCGUUCCAACCUCGCUCUGAUACCACUUGUUGGGCCAAAAUAGUACGAUAUUGUCCGCUUUGGGCCGAGCCCGCACGGCUUUGUUUUUUGGGCACCUCCCAAAAGGCCUCGUACUAAUUGGAGUUGUUCUGGCUGCUUAUAUUCUAGCUUUCUGCCCCUCCCACAACCGAUGUGGGACAACUCCUAACAUAUAUUGCCCGGUUUAACUAUGUUGUUAGAUUAGACUUAUAGGACUGAACAACUAGGUGAUAGUUCAUAUAACAAUAUUGGCCAGGUCGAAAAUAAAAGGAUACAAUGUAAUUUAAUUCAUUUCUUUAAGCAGACAGAAUCAGUGACGCUGCCUCACUAGUCAGGAACAGUUCCAGUACUGUCAUGAGCAUUGAGAGUAAAGGCGACAAGCUUCUCUAAUGCAGUAUACCAUAUUAUAUUGUCAGUCUUACUUCGAAUAUCUGAUCUCUGAAGUAUUGUUUGUAUUUAGAGACCUUUCUCCAGCAUUUGUAAACCUGAAUAAGAUUUGCUUGUAUGACAUUGCUCAAGGUUAUAAUGUUGGCAUUAGGAAUCCAAACUUUUUUUACUUCCUGAACAAGCAUUUCUUAUGCAGUCCCAUUCUUAAAUGGGAAAAGAUAUAUAACAUCCUCAAUUCGUAUAGUAAAUAUAACAUGAAACUUCUGUAAGUUUACCUAUACAAUAUCGUAAAUUAUCUGAGAGUUAAUAGUCUCAAAAAUGAUAAAUGUUAUUAAUUUAACAAGAUUAUUAAUUCAAUGAGGUUUAAUAUACAAUAUCUUUAUUAUGCUGGGACUAUUUUUUUAAAAUAUCCAUUUAAAGUGGGCUAUACAUUUACAUGUUCUGCUUUUGGCCAAAUACAAAUUUACAAGCAUUAAUACAUAGUAGUAGAUCUGAUGCUGACUUUACAAAAAGGAACUUGCUAUAUUACAUUUAUAUAUGCUCCUAUAUCAAUGUUCACGAACACUAUGCUUGUCAGUUGUCAAGGAAUACUUGGCGGAUUUUCAGCGGAGCUUGGCUGUGUACUUGAAACAUUAACAAGCCACUAGAGUAGCUUCUGAACUUCAAAAGUAUCGUCAACAAAGUACUUGGCCUUGCUAGGCUUUUGCUCCACAGUGCAGAGAAAGAUUUCCGGAACAACAUGGACCACCACAGAUGAAACAAUUUUCAAAGUACCGUCGUACAUGUCUUCAUCUGACCUGUCAUCUCCAAUGCAGAGGAUGAAAUCAGGGAUCUCGCCAUUGCUAACCAUUGUCGCAGUUACCUUUUCUGUGACCAAGCCUUUGCUUGCAUCCUAAAUAUUUUAGGUUGCUAUUUAGUAAAUUACUGUACAAUGCACAGCGAAGACCGAAAGAGGGCGACGAGAGACACAUACCUGUGGUUUAAGCUCAACAAUAUUUUUUUCCCUUUCUAACUACUGCAGGUUCAUUAGCAAUGACGUGUUUACAAUGAUCCGACAAUUCCUUUGCCUGCAAGGAUCCAAAAUCAUGAUCUGCAUCUUGAUGGUGCCAAACCAAAGAACUUUCUUUGACUUCGAUGGUGGAACCAUCCGUGGCUUCUGCAUACAGAUUCAUUAUACGCUCCACUGCCACCUUCCACUCGAGAUCCACAACCAAAUUGGAUUACCAUUCAGAAGUUUUCUUCCACCUGCAAACCAAAGGCAAUUUAUUUAGAAGUGCCACUUAAAAAGCUCUCUAAGAAGUUUGUGAAGAAAAAUACCUUAUGAAGUACCCGUGUUCAGCAGCUAGUCCUAGACCUUCACAUGGAGCCAGCCACUCGGUUAAGGAACUUCUACCUCUUCCACUAACGAUAAACACAGUGUUCUUAGGAUCAUCACACAGAGUGUUAAGAGCAGUGACAACUUCACUAUUGACAUUUUUCUUGGUCGGGGAAUGAGGAACAAGGGUGCCAUCAAAGUGUAGAAAUAUAGCCCUCCAAUUUGUCCUGUUAUAUGCAGGAACUAUGCUUUAAGAAAAUAAUUUUUGAAAACCUAGGGAGAGGGCAACAACUUUAAAUGUGAAACUGAAGCCCAAACCCCAGCAUUGAUAAUUAUGAUGAUCAAGACAUGCUCUCUCCAUGCUAUGCAGGAAACUGUGAGCCCAAUACGCCACAUAAUGAGACUGAACGUAGAAAAUACCUUAUGAAGUACCCGUGUUCAGCAGCUAGUCCUAGACCUUCACAUGGAGCCAGCCACUCGGUUAAGGAACUUCUACCUCUUCCACUAACGAUAAACACAGUGUUCUUAGGAUCAUCACACAGAGUGUUAAGAGCAGUGACAACUUCACUAUUGACAUUUUUCUUGGUCGGGGAAUGAGGAACAAGGGUGCCAUCAAAGUGUAGAAAUAUAGCCCUCCAAUUUGUCCUGUUAUAUGCAGGAACUAUGCUUUAAGAAAAUAAUUUUUGAAAACCUAGGGAGAGGGCAACAACUUUAAAUGUGAAACUGAAGCCCAAACCCCAGCAUUGAUAAUUAUGAUGAUCAAGACAUGCUCUCUCCAUGCUAUGCAGGAAACUGUGAGCCCAAUACGCCACAUCAUGAGACUGAACGUAACUAUAGUUCUGCUCAUGUCUUAAUUGCCUUAAAGAAUCAUCUAUGGAGACCGCAGAACGCAUAGCCUCAGCUAAGGAACUAAUAUCCCAUGAAUUUAUUCUGAUUGCUCCACUCAAAGAUGAAGAAUAGCCAACAUAUUCAUAAAUAAUUAGCACACUUGUUCGAGGAAAAUAUGACAUAAUUCCCCUAGCUUCAUCCACAGUUGAAGGGCCCUGCCUGCAAACGAUAUACAUGUGAGGGACUAGAGUCAUUCCAUCUCUUACAGCAUUUACUAUGCAACAUUCCGAGCCAGCAUAGUAGGCACUCUUUUCACAUUGAUCAACUGGUCGAUCAAUUAGAAUCACUAGUUGAUGACCAUAUGAACCAUAAAUCUGAUUAAUCCUGUUAGCAGUUCUAUACGUCUCCCUUCUCACUUCCUCGAUGUCCUCUCUUGAGCUUCUUUCAGGAUUGAUAAUUUGAACAAGAAACAAAAUAUCCCGCAAGUUUUCAUACUUCCUCAAUAGCUGUUCAAAUGCUAAUAACUUUGGACUAAUUGCCUUGAAUAAGUUCAUGUCGUCUACGCCAACAAUUACAUGCUUCCCCUUGAGCUUCCCUUUGAAUUCCUUGACUUUCACUGAUGUAGAAGGAAUAUUCAGAACAUUUUAAACUUUUCCCAAAUGAAUUCUUAUAGGCAGAAUCUUGAUAUACACCUAGGGAUGGCAGAAAAAACCGAUCCGAAUGGAUACCCGACCGUUUCGACCCGAAUGGAUCUUACCGAACCCGAUAUUUUUGAUUUGGAUUUGGAUUUGGAUUUGGAUUUGAUUUUUAGACCCGAACGAGUUUGGAUUUGGAUUUGGAUACUAGGUAUUCCGUAUCGAAACCCGACCCGAAAUCCGAAUCCGAUCCAAACCCGAUCCAAACCCGAAACCCGAAAAAAAAUCCAAAUAUAUGUAUAUGUAUAUGUAUUACUAAUAUACUUUUUUCAAUUUUAAAUCUACUAAAUUGUGUUUAUAUAUAUUUAGGUAGAGUGUGAAUGUGUAUAUUCUUGGGUUAUAUUGACUUUUUUUGUUUAACUAAUGAGUUACUUUAAAAUUUCAUACUCCAUAUAGUGAUGAUUUGUGUUUAGAAAUUAUUACAUACGGUUCAAGAUUUUAUUAAUGUGUAAUGCUUUAUUAUUAAAGUAGUUUAGUUUUAAAUAUAAUGAAAUUUAAGGGUGAAAAAAUCAAAAAUAAUAUUUUUACAAUACUAUAUAAAUUUCGGAAUUCAGGUUUUGGAUAAACCCGAAUAAACCCGAACCCGAUCCGAAACCCGUGGAUUUGGAUUUGGAUUUGAUAUGUGAAACCCGAUUGGAUUUGGAUUUGGAUUUGGAUUUUAAACAUAAUUUGGAUUUGGAUUUGGAUAUCUCAAAUAUCCGAACCGAUCCAACCCGUUGCCAUCCCUAUAUACACCGUGCGACCACUAUAAUGCAGCCCAAUUUGUCCUCGUUUGGACUCAUAGUCCAGUCCUAGCAUUUUACUACAACAUGAGAGGAUGUGGCGAGCAAAAUCAAAAGUAUGAAACCCGAUGAGAUCAUAGUUCAACAAAAUCCACAAAAUGUCUGCUCUUAUAGGAAGUGUUCGAUAGAUCUCUGAUGCAAGGACUAGACUUUUGAGAAAGAAUCCGAGUUUGGCCCUGUAACGCUUAUUUCUCAAGAACACAAGGACCGCCAUGAGGUGAUAGUCAUGAAUCCAAAUAUAAUCAGUCUCAGGAUUUGUCACUUCCAAUACUUUGUCUGCAAAUAUUUUAUUUGCAGAGAUAUAAGCCUGCGACAGUCCUCGAUCAAAUUGGUCACCAUGCUUUCCGCAUAUUGGGAGCAUGUAAUGCAAUAUAGGCCAUAUAUGGUGCUUGCAGAAAUCAUGAUAGAAUUCAGAGAAGAGUUCAUUCGCAAGAAAAGGGUGAACGCAAUUGAAAUCAUCCAUCAGUCUCUCAACAACCUCCUCCUGUUCAUUAACAUAUGUAUCGGCAUUUAGUGAACCAGCAUAAAAAAUCACUGUAUCAGGUGAAAAUCCAUCUUUUAGCUGCCAUAGAGGUGAAUCUUCAUCGUAAUUAAAGAUCAAGCCCUUUGUUUCCCCAUCCUUCUGUGCAUGAAGGGGCAACAUGUUUGACACGAUGAUAAUUCUGACAGGUGUAGAUGAUGUAUCGGCAUAAAAAAUCACUUAGUGAACCAGCAUAAAAAAUCACUGUAUCAGGUGAAAAUCCAUCUUUUAGCUGCCAUAGAGGUGAAUCUUCAUCGUAAUUAAAGAUCAAGCCCUUUGUUUCCCCAUCCUUCUGUGCAUGAAGGGGCAACAUGUUUGACACGAUGAUAAUUCUGACAGGUGUAGAUGAUGUACCAUCUGAAUCCACAUAUUUGAUACAAGGAUUAGUCCUCUUCAGGUCCCCGAAAGCCAGGUUUUCAAAAUUCAUACGUGAACUUGUAUCCAUGAUCGAUUUAUUUCCAAACAAGAAUAUAAUUGGAUCUGAUUAUAUUCUGUAAAAAGAAAACACAAGAGCUCCUUAAAGUUAGACAAGUAAAUCUAAUGGCUUGAAGAGAAAUUCUUCUAUAGAUAAUUGAAAACAGAAUAGAUUAUUAUACUAUAGGCCAUGAUAAUUGCUGAUGAUAUGCUCUAUACUUAUAAUCAUAACUUAUUGCAAAUACAAUUGAUAUAUAUACUUAUAAGGAAACAUGAUCAAUUAUGGAAACAUGAUCAAUAGUUAUUAAUUCAAUAGUCAAAUCGUAAAUUUGUAAUGAUAUGAUCAUGAUCACUAAAUUCAGCCGCUUAAACAAGCUAGAACACAAGUAGUUUAAUAUUGUACACCGGUAUUUAAGUAGCUGAACUAGCUGGAGUUAUAUCAAAUAAAAAUUAUUUAAGUAGCUGAACUAGCUGGAGUUAUAUCAAAUACCUUAAAGGUUUGCAUGAGAUUAUGAAGGCUAUCGUGAAAUGUUUGAGUUAGAUUAAACAAGUUUGGAUUAUAUAUAUAUAUAUAUAUAUAUANAUAUAUAUAUAUAUAACGAAUUAACAACUAUUAGGCCGUACAAACAAUUAAAAGUGGUGUGCUGAUGAAGUCAUUGUUUGUAACUAUAGUUGGUGAUUAUAUAAGAAGGAUAUAUACACAAAAAAAUGUGUAAUUGUGUUUUGUGUAUUAUCUUAUUAAUAGGUCAAUCCAUUGACUUGUUAGGAGUCCCGUUAUUUUCAAAAUAUAGUUUUAAUAGUGACGUCUCCACUAAAUCCAUAAAUGUUAUUUAUUUUAUAAUUUAAGUAAAUAAAGGAUUGUUAUAAAAAUAAAAAAAAAGAGUAAAUCACACUUUGCACCUAUAACUUUGGGAUGUUUUGUGAUUUGGUCUCAUUGUUUAAAACUUUGCAGGUUGCACUCAUAAGUUUAUAAUCUGUAACGCUUUGCACCCACUUAACACUUUCCAUCAAAACCACCGUUAAGUCUAACAUAAGGGAGGGGUAGUUUGGGAAAAAUCUCCAUGGGGUGUAAUUAAAAGCAGGUUGUUACGUCCGGAAGCGAUUGUAGAAGGGGGGUUGAAUACAAUCGUCACAAAAUAAUCGCGGAAUAAAUCUGAUUGGAAUAUAAUUUGUUAAUCAUAUUUUAAUCAAUUAAUAUAACAAUGUUUGAAGUUGUUAUAUAAUUAAAUUGGUUCAGUUUUAAUGUCCACUAAUGUUCGUAGAAUAAAUUCGACAUGGUAUAUUCUAGAUUAGUGAUUAAAACAACUGGUAACAAAGCACAGUAAAACUGUGGAUGUAACAAUAGCAAGUUUUAGCAAAACCUAAAAGCUUUUACAAGUGCUUUGAAAUGUCAAAGUGAGUGAACACUUACAAAUGAAGAAUGGUGGUCAUAUUUAUAGGCAAAACCAUUUGAACUACUAAGACAACUAAAGGUAAGACAACUAAAAGCAAGACAUGACAAAGCAUAAACAAGGUAUGACAAAUUAGUAGCUUUGCCAUGACAAAACAAGUAAGGGUAAGACAAGAGUAAAGAAGGGAAAGACAACAAAAAGCAAGACAAGGCUAGUUGUCACCAAUCAUGACAUCACAUAAUCAAUCAAAAGGACAAGGAAUCUUCCUUGAUUGGUACCACUCGAUUAUGGCAUGUGAAAGCAUGUGGAAAGACAUGGUUGUCUUGUACUUGGUGUGUGCUAGCUUGUCUUUGCAAAGAAAAGAGUUGUCUUGACCAUGUGCUUUAAUAACAAGGUAGGACAAAACUUUUCAAUGUCUUGGAGUGCCUUUAAAGGAGCUAGACAAAACAUUUCUUUGUCUAACUAGAUGUAGAAAGCUUUAAAGUGAUUUGUUUAGUAAAUAAUAAAUAGAAUAUAAUCCACUUAAUUAAAUUAGUUGAGUAUAUUCAUUAGAUAAAUUAAUUCAAGAGUGAAUCAAUUUACUAAAUAAAAUAUACUACUAAUAUAAUUAUAUUAGAAGUGAAUAUAUAUAAUCUAUUUAAUAUUUAAUCACUUUCCUUCUUUAGCAGAGCUUCUGUCUUCUUUGAAACUUUAAUAUCUUCGUCUUGAAUUGUCAAUCAAUUGAACUACCACCUUUGUUUGACGUAGAAUAUUUAAUCCUUGUAGCUGACACACAAAUGUACUGUCUGGUUCAUCUGUAUCUAACUGAAUAAAAUAUUCUUCAUCAUUAAAACAAUUAAGAUGUGGCUUGUUCGUCGAGUCUUCGUCUUGUAAGUUCUUCUUCAUAAAUUGGAAUCAUCUGAAUAAAUAAAGUAUAGAAACUUCAUACCUUCUGAACUCCUGAACGUGCCACAAAAGAUUAUUUGUGCACUGAGGCUUGAACAUAUUAAUGAACUUCUCUCAGUGGACUGCAGCAACAUCCUGGAAUUUUUCUAACAUAAAAUUCCGAUAAAUCAUUUGACGUUCUUCGUACGGAUUCCGGUGACUUGCUAUUUACUGAGCUUUUUUUAUCUGAGUUGAGUUGUACCUCUUUCAAUACAAAUAGGCUAAACAUAUGCCUUUCACAGGUUUAACGGAAAAAAAAAAUCUGUUUUAACGAAAAAUAAAAUAAAUAUUAAAACAUAUUUUGUAAAAUAACAAAUAAAUAUUAUAAAUCACUGCAAAAGAUUUUAAGAAAUUUAUAAAAUAUAUUUUAAUAUUUAUUUUAUUUUGAAUAUAGAAAUAUGUAAGAAUAAUAUGUGUUUUUUUUGUUAAAAUAGACUUUGAACAUUUAAUAAAUUUGUUUGGUUUUAUAAAAACAUAUAUAUAUUUGUUAAAUAUAUGUAUUUAAUAUAUUUUAAAUAUAGGGUUGUGUUAGGUACACUUGGUUAAAUUUUUGGUCUAUACUCAUUAAAUUCCACAGUGUUUCUUUCCGUUUAUGUUAUCUUUGCUGCUAGAAUCAGUUUGUCCUUGUAGUUCAUGUAAGAUAUGGAGCUUUAAAAACCCACAAGUGUCUGCACCAACAAAAAUACUCUAGAAGGAAAUUAAUUGGAUUCAAACAUAUGUUCUGUUCUUGAUUACCAACCCAUAACAUAAUUUCCCCAGUUCUUUUACAAUCAUAAAGAGGCCUUUUGCUGCUUCGCUAAAUUUAGAUAUAAGUAGCUCCUUUUUUUAAAAUAAUUUUAUUAAAAUCAAACAAAUUUAUUAAAUGUUCAAAAGUCUAUUUUAACGAAAAAAACACAUAUUAUUCUUACAAUCUCUAUAUUCAAAAUAAAAUAAAUAUUAAAAUAGAUUUUAUAAAAUUCUUAAAAUCCUUUGCAAUGAAUUAUAAUAUUUAUUUGUUAUUUUAUAAAAUAUGUUUUAAUAUUUAUUUUAUUUUUCGUUAAAACAAAUAUAUUUUUUUGCUAAACCUGCUUUUAAUUAAACCCCAUGCAGAUUUUUCCCAAACUACCCCUUCCUUCGGUUAGACUUAACGGUGGUUUGGAUGAAAAGUGUUAAAUAGGUGCAAAGCGUUACAGAUUAAAAACUUAUGAGUGUAACCUGCAAAAUUUUAAAUAAUGAGACUAAAUCGCAAAACGCCCCAAAGUUAUAGGUGCACAGUGUGAUUUACUCAAAAAAAAAAAAGAGCAAUCCUAGACAUACCAAAAUUUUAAUUUGUGGAGUUGAUGUAUAUGCAAAGGAGUUAUCAUUCUAAAUGAUUUCGAGCCUGUUGGGCUACAUAAAUCAAGCUCUUAUCAAGGGCUUAUUUUUCUAAAAAUGCAUAUUUUUAUAAUUUUGUUGGAUAUAAAUGUUAAGGAUUCAUUAUGUGGGAGGGUCAAUUUCAGAAAAAAGUAGAGUUUCAUGCACUCCUUUUGAGAAAUAAGCUCGUAUUUCUCAAAAAUAAGUUUAGCCAAACGGUCACUUAGCAACGGCCUGGAGAGGUCCUUGAGCCAUGAUUCUGCUCUGCAUAAAUCUACAUAUUUAAAGAAAGAAUAGAGGAACUGAAAUGUAAUGCUUGCUCGCAAGUCGCCCCACCAGCACUAUUGGGAAAAACUCACAAUGUAAUUACUAAUGUACUUUGCGUUUUUUCUCACCAACGUAACAGAUAACAAGUAAACACUUGACUAUUCCGCUCAGCUCCCACUCCAAAGUUGGUCUACGACGAUAUGUCCAACUCUUAUCGUUUCUGGAAGUUAAAUGACUUGAUUGACAAGGCAAAGAUGCUUCCAAAUAGAAAUGCUAACCCAACUAUAAUAAGUGCUACACAUCCCACAAAGUCAUGAUCAUACUCAAAGUAGCUCUUGAUGAAUUGUGCCACCGUUUCACCAGUUUCAAGUUUUUCUUCAAUGUCGCCGAAUUGUGAACCAAGUAAUCCAUACAAUGUCCAAGAAAUAGGGCAAGUGUAUGAGCACCAUUUCCACCACACUGGUAUUCUCUGUCAAAAAUUACAAAAUGCUAAAUAUUCGUAAAAUUGUUAUUUUAUUCUUUGUAAAAAGUGCUUAUCAGGUAAAUUUUGAACUUACUGUUACUGGAAUGAUAAAACCAGAGAAAAGAUUCCACAAUCCGUAAAAGAAUGUUGAAAAUACAGCAGCAAUGUUGUGGUUUGGAGUGACUGCUACUGUCAUCAUUCCGUAAAAGGUGAAGUACAACAAGGUGAAGUAAAUGAAGAAAAUAUACCAGAAGAACUUGGCAGCUGUCCACUCGAAUCCGAGCAUUGCAUAAACUAUGACGCCAUAGAGGAUUGUUUGGAUAAAACCGUAUGGAAGCUCGAUUAAAACCUGUAUAGUGUGGAAGUCAUAGAAAGUACAUUAAAAAUACUUGAGGCAACAAAAUUUUGGCUAACAAGUUAAAAAUAAAACUUAAAUAUCAAAAUGGUCACUGAAGUAGAGGUCAUAUAUCACUUUGAUCACUGAUCUUAAAUGAUCCAUUGAGAUCGGUGAUCAAAGUGAUAUAUGACUUACACUGCAGUGAUCACUUUGAGAUUUAACCCUCGAUCAGAGAAUAAAGGGGAUAAAUAUCAAGUAGGUCACUCGUUUCGUCCAAAUGUAUCAAUUGAGUCACUGAUUCCCAAAUUGACUCAAAUGAGACACUUAUUAGAAAAAUUUGUAUCAAAAAUAUCACUCUAUCGUUAGUCAAAAUUUUGAAAGUAUUAUAUAUUUAUCCCGUUCUGAAUAAAAGAAUGAGACCGGCUACCUGUCCAAUUGCAUAUGGAAUAGCUGAAUACAUCCCAGCUGCUCUUUCUCUAUAAAAGACAGUUCUUUCUACACCAACAACUGGCUGUACUGAUGAAGCACUCUGUAUGCCAAGAAAUAUAACCGCUGCAUACAUGGAGCCCAUGGAGUCGAAGAGAUUUUGCUUUGUUCCCCUGGAUUACCAAAGCAAGUGAUUUUAAGUAAUAUAUGGAUUGAGUACAAAAGAAUUUUAAGGGAGGACUAUUCGAAUCUACCUUACUGGACCAACAUUCCAGAAUAUAGUCCCAAAGAGUAAUCCUGUGAAAAUUGCGAAUAGAAUUCUUAUAGCACUGUAGUUAGUAUUUCGCCAGUACGACCAGUGUUGUUUCCAGAGGCAAGCUAUGCAUUGAGUGAAGAAAGAUUGCGAGUACUGUGUAGCGAAUUGUAGAUCCUGAGAACCAGGUAUUGGUUUGCUAAUUGCCUCUAUAGAUUCCUUGUUCUUCCUACAUUAUCACGAAGGGUAAUAAACUCGAUUAGCAUGUAAACAUUGUCCUCAGAAUGUCGACUAAAUCUUAUAGUAAAAUCUGGAAUUUACUUUACCUAUAUAAUUCUGAUUUUUUGUACACUUCAGCAAACUUAACUCCUAGUGCUUCUUCUUGUCCUUUUGAUGUUACAUCCAACAUCCAGGUUGCUGGAUUAUAACCAUCUUUUAUUUUAGGAACUCCAUUGAUUGCCUACAAAAAAAUUUAAUUCUAUGAACUUCCAUUCUUACACAAAUACUAUUGAUAUGUAAAGGUUUAUCUAAACUUUGCAGAGCUCACCUCAAAGUAUUCAAUAAGAUCGGAAGGCUGAUGGCCUAAUGGUCCAACAUAUAUUUCUUCACCUCCGGAUUUUAGUAAAAUCAACUGCAAUUUAUACAAACUAUUCCUUAGUUCUGUAAGCACAUUGAAAUUGGAAGCAUAUACUGGAUCCUUACUGUUGAAAGAUAUCUUACCUCAUCAAAAGCAUCAAAUAUGUCAAUGCUUGGCUGGUGGAUAGUGCACACCACUGUUCUGCCUGUAUCCACCGUGUUUCUCACAGUUCUCAUCACUAUUGCUGCUGCCCUGGCAUCAAGACCUGAGGUUGGCUCAUCCAUGAAUAUUAUGGAUGGGUUAGCCACCAACUCAACUGCGAUAGUUAACCUUUUGCGUUGCUCGGUUGAGAGACCAUCUACACCUGGCAGUCCUACAAGGGCUCCUUUCAAGGGGGUCAGCUCCACAAGCUCCAUAACUUCCUCAACAAACAUCUGCAAUCCAUAAAUCAAAAUAUUGCAUUUUCAAAAUAGUAGCCUUAGCUUGUCAGUACUACUUACAUCGAUAAAUCUGUCUAUGCUCAAAUUACCUUUUUUGUUAUAUUAUCAACUUCAGGAGGCAGCCGAAGCCAUGCUGAAUAUUGAAGAGACUCGUAAACUGUUACAUAAGGAGAGUGAAUAUCUGUCUGCUCACAGUAUCCUGCUAUACGAGCAAAAGUUUCUUGCUUCUUAGGGUAGCCAGAUAUCGUAAUUGUUCCCUCAGUAUAACCACAUGUUUUUCUUCCAGCCAACACAUCCAUCAGAGUGGUCUUUCCAGCUCCACUAACACCCAUUAGAGCUGUAAGAACUCCUGGUCUGAAUGCACCACUAACACCUUUUAAUAUUUCUAGCCGGUCUUCAAGGAAACCUUGAGCCUUUAAUUCCUGCAUCAAUUAGCGCGUGCAUUGGUAAUGGUCUGUUAAACAAUUUCUGUUCAAUAUCUUAUGGAAAUAUUACGAUGAGGAUAAGCAUAACAAUAAAUUGAUACCAUUUAUAGAAUUAGUACAUUUCUCACAUAUAGAAUUCUGCAAGCGUUGAAUUGAGUACCUGUGAAACAUCCACUGCAUACUUAAUAUCAUUGAAACAGAUUGAAAGGGGUUGGAAAGGAAGAAUCAUCCCAUGCUUCUUUUUGGAUGUUAAAUCCAUGCUACCGUUGGUUGUGAACAUUGCACAGGCUGUCAAGUCUCUUCCUGACGAGGUCCUCUCAGCCAAAGUUUCUUCACUUAGAAUUGCCUGGGGCCUCCCAAUUGCUGCACAAUUUGAUAUCCAUGAACUAUUGUUGAGUUACUAAUUAAGAUUAAUUUUUAUUUGUGAGGCGUGAAACAUAGCUACUGCUUACGGUUGAAAUAGGCGAGAGCAGUGGCAGAGAGUAAAUUAAAUAAGAACAUAUAUCCAACCAAUGCUCCUAUUCCUAGCCAAUACCAGUAUGCAUCUGGCAUAAGUCCACGUGUCUUCAUGACAGUCACUCCUAGUGGUUCAUUUGAGUUUGGAAGAACCUGCCAAUACUCGUCCAAGGAUGUUAGUCAACUAAAUAUUGGCUGAAACAUUUGAUGAUAUUUGAACCAGUAUUAAGAGGACUUACAUGUCUCCAACUCUUCCCAAGAAAUUCAUUUACUGCAAUAGCAUUCUGCGCGUACAUUAACGGUGAACUCCAGUAACCCCAUAUCCACCAUGGAUGGAUGUUAUCUAUUUCACACAGAAAUACGACAAUUAUUAAAUUUAUUUUCUACGAAAAUAGAUUCUGAAACUUGACAGGAAAUUACCUUUUGACAGAACAAAUCCACCUAAAGCAAGUACUGCAAGUAAUGUACAUGAGCCCAAGGUGUUGGCAACAAUCAUGCUUCUUCCUAUAGCAGAUAUGCACCGAUAUAGUGCUGAGGCCAUUUGAUGAGCACAAAGGAGCACAAGAAUAUGUCCAAUGAUUCUGUCAUUAUAAAGGAGAAUAGUGAGAAAAACCCACAAUAUGAACUCUUUACUUAGUUUUGGAGGUCUACCUUUCAAAGUCUUGUUCGUAUCCAAUGGCAUAAUAAGUCAAACAGACCCAAAGUACAACUUCCCAGAGUGUGACAGGGAUUUUAAGGAUCCAUGUAGGUAUUGAGUAUGCCCAAACUGGAAAAAACAGAAGUUCUCUUUGCUUGUAAAAUACAGGAAGUCUCAUGGUGCUCAAGGCGAUUUCAGAUAGUCCAUUAAACAUCACAGUGAUUACUGUAUA